GAUGAACGCUGGCGGCGUGCCUAAUACAUGCAAGUCGAGCGAACGGACGAGAAGCUUGCUCCUCUGAUGUUAGCGGCGGACGGGUGAGUAACACGUGGAUAACCUACCUAUAAGACUGGGAUAACUUCGGGAAACCGGAGCUAAUACCGGAUAAUAUUUUGAACCGCAUGGUUCAAUAGUGAAAGACGGUUUUGCUGUCACUUAUAGAUGGAUCCGCGCUGCAUUAGCUAGUUGGUAAGGUAACGGCUUACCAAGGCAACGAUGCAUAGCCGACCUGAGAGGGUGAUCGGCCACACUGGAACUGAGACACGGUCCAGACUCCUACGGGAGGCAGCAGUAGGGAAUCUUCCGCAAUGGGCGAAAGCCUGACGGAGCAACGCCGCGUGAGUGAUGAAGGUCUUCGGAUCGUAAAACUCUGUUAUUAGGGAAGAACAUAUGUGUAAGUAACUAUGCACAUCUUGACGGUACCUAAUCAGAAAGCCACGGCUAACUACGUG
rnacentral:rRNA from 1 species